GUUGAAACAUCGGUUCUCGUAGGAUCACUGAAGUUAAGCAACGUCGAUCUUGGUCUGUACCUAAGAUGGGUGACCGCUUAGGAAUACCAGGUAUUGUAAG